GUUUGAUCCUGGCUCAGAGCGAACGUUAGCGGCGGGCUUAACACAUGCAAGUCGAGCGAGAGAGUGGCUUCGGCCAUGAGUAAAGCGGCAGACGGGUGAGGAACACGUAGGUAAUUUUCCGUUUAGUGGGGGACAACGGUCCGAAAGGACCGCUAAUACCGCAUACGUUCCUUGGGGCUUUGGCCCUGGGGAGGAAAGCUGGGCAACUGGCGCUAAAUGAGAAGCCUGCGUCGCAUCAGCUAGUUGGUGGGGUAAUGGCCUACCAAGGCGAAGACGCGUAGCUGGUCUGAGAGGAUGAUCAGCCACACUGGAACUGAGACACGGUCCAGACUCCUACGGGAGGCAGCAGUGGGGAAUAUUGGACAAUGGGCGCAAGCCUGAUCCAGCCACGCCGCGUGAGUGAUGAA
rnacentral:rRNA from 1 species